AUUGAACGCUAGCGGCAGGCCUAACACAUGCAAGUCGAACGAGUGGCGGACGGGUGAGUAAUGUCUGGGAAACUGCCCGAUGGCGGGGGAUAACUACUCGAAACGGUAGCUAAUACCGCAUACUAUCGGAUGUGCCGAGAUGGGAUUAGCUAGUUGGUGGGGUAACGGCUCACCAAGGCGACGAUCCCUAGCUGGUUUGAGAGGAGGACCAGCCACACUGGAAAUGAGACACGGUCCAGACUCCUACGGGAGGCAGCAGUGGGGAAUAUUGCACAAUGGGCGCAAGCCUGAUGCAGCCAUGCCGCGUGUAUGAAGAAGGCCUUCGGGUUGUAAAGUACUUUCAGCGAGGAGGCGUUACUCGCAGAAGAAGCACCGGCUAACUACGUGCCAGCCGCCGCGGUAAUAC
rnacentral:rRNA from 1 species